rnacentral:rRNA from 1 species
GACGAACGCUGGCGGCGUGCCUAAUACAUGCAAGUCGAACGCAGUGGGGACGGGUGAGUAACCCGUGGGUAACCUCCCAUCAGAGGGGAUAACACUUGGAAACAGGUGCUAAACCGAUACUGAUGGAUGGACCCCCGGGGCAUUAGGUAGUUGGUGAGGUAACGGCUCAACAAGGCCAAGGUGGAUAGCCGAACUGAGGGGGGGGUCGGCCAAAAGGGGACUGAGACACGGCCCAGACCUCUACGGGAGGCAGCAGGAGGGAAUCUUCGGCAAUGGACGAAAGUCUGACCGAGCAACGCCGCGUGAGUGAAGAAGGUUUUCGGAUCGUAAAACUCUGUUGUUAGAGAAGCGGUAUCUAACCAGAAAGCCACGGCUAACUACGUGCCAGCAGCCGCGGUAAUUC